AUUCCAUCCUUCUCCAAACAACCCAUUACCAAAGUUUGAAGCUUUUCUUUCUGUGUUAAAAGAAAAUAAUUUUUUUUUUCUUUGGUUCAAAGAAAAUGAGGAAGCGUCAAGUUGUGCUUAGAAGAUCAGAAGAACCCUCAAGGGAGACUGUGGCUUCCUCUUUCACAGUAAGGAGUGUAAGAUAUGGGGAGUGCCAAAAGAACCAUGCCGCUGGGGUCGGAGGGUACGCAGUUGAUGGGUGUCGAGAAUUCAUGGCGAGUGGCGACGAAGGGACGACCGCUGCACUGACUUGCGCGGCCUGCGGUUGCCACCGGAAUUUCCAUAGAAGGCAAGUUGGAACUGAG
rnacentral:misc_RNA from 1 species